rnacentral:rRNA from 1 species
UCGAGAAUUUUUCUCAAUGGGGGAAACCCUGAAGGAGCGACGCCGCGUGGGGGAUGAAUGGCUUCGGCCCGUAAACCCCUGUCAUUUGCGAUCAAACCUUGCGAUCUAAUAAGUCGUAAGCUGAUAGUAGCGAAAGAGGAAGGGACGGCUAACUCUGUGCCAGCAGCCGCGGUAAUACAGAGGUCCCAAGCGUUGUUCGGAUUCACUGGGCGUAAAGGGUGCGUAGGUGGUCGGGUAAGUCUGAUGUGAAAUCUUCAAGCUCAACUUGGAAACUGCAUCGGAUACUAUUCGGCUAGAGGAAUGGAGGGGAGACUGGAAUACUUGGUGUAGCAGUGAAAUGCGUAGAUAUCAAGUGGAACACCAGUGGCGAAGGCGAGUCUCUGGACAUUUCCUGACACUGAG